rnacentral:rRNA from 1 species
CCCUUAGAUGUUCUGGGCGGCCCGCGCACUACAUUGGCACUCUCAAUAAGUUCCUAGAUCUAAAACUUUGGGGUAUUCUAUUAAGUGGUGUCGUGACUGGGAUUAACCCUUGCAAUUAUUGGUUACGAACGAGGAAUUCCUUGUAAUCGCGGUUUAUCAGCCCGCGUUGAAUGCGUCCCUGCCCUUUGUACACACCGCCCGUCGCUCCUACCGAUGAAUCGUCCGGUGAAGUUCAUGGAGUGGUGGUUGUUCCAGCUGCUGUCGAAGUGAAAUGGACCUCACGAUUUAGAGGAAGGAAAAGUCGUAACA